UACGUAGGGUGCAAGCGUUAAUCGGAAUUACUGGGCGUAAAGCGUGCGCAGGCGGUUUUUUAAGUCAGAUGUGAAAGCCCCGGGCUCAACCUGGGAAUUGCAUUUGAAACUGGGGAACUAGAGUGUGUGAGAGGGGGGUAGAAUUCCAAGUGUAGCGGUGAAAUGCGUAGAGAUUUGGAGGAAUACCAGUGGCGAAGGCGGCCCCCUGGCACAACACUGACGCUCAGGUGCGAAAGCGUGGGGAGCAAACAGG
rnacentral:rRNA from 1 species